rnacentral:rRNA from 1 species
UACGAAGGGGGCUAGCGUUGCUCGGAAUCACUGGGCGUAAAGGGUGCGUAGGCGGGUUUUUAAGUCAGAGGUGAAAUCCUGGAGCUCAACUCCAGAACUGCCUUUGAUACUGAAAGUCUUGAGUAUGGGAGAGGUGAGUGGAACUGCGAGUGUAGAGGUGAAAUUCGUAGAUAUUCGCAAGAACACCAGUGGCGAAGGCGACUCACUGGCCCAUUACUGACGCUGAGGCACGAAAGCGUGGGGAGCAAACAGG